rnacentral:rRNA from 1 species
CGAGCACGCGCGUGUGGCAUAUCAAUAAGCGGAGGAAAAGAAACUAACAAGGAUUCCCUUAGUAACGGCGAGUGAAGCGGGAAGAGCUCAAAUUUGAAAUCUUCAAGGUUCUACCUUGACGAAUUGUAGUUUAUAGAAGUGUUCUACUGUUAGUAGAGUGGCAAAAGUUCUUUGGAAUAGGACAUCAUAGAGGGUGAGAAUCCCGUAUUUGACCAGUUACUUUCCAGCUGUGUGAUACACUUUCAAAGAGUCGGAUUGUUUGGGAAUGCAGUCCAAAAUGGGUGGUAAAUUUCAUCUAAAGCUAAAUAUUGGCGAGAGACCGAUAGCGAACAAGUACCGUGAGGGAAAGAUGAAAAGAACUUUGAAAAGAGAGUUAAGCAGUACGUGAAAUUGUCAAAAGGGAAGCGUUUGACACCAGUGUUGUUUAGUUGAAAAUCAAUUAAAUAUUUUUCGAUUUUAAGUAGUAUUGACCUUAUCAGCUUGCUGCUUUUUUCUCGGAAAUUAUUUAAUGCACUUUUCAGUUAACAAGUCAACAUCAAUUUCUUUUGUUGUAAAAAGGUAAGAGGAAGGUGGCUUGCGCUUCGGCUCAAGUGUUUAUAGCCUUUUACCCCUGCAAUCGGAGAGAUUGAGGUCUGCAGCGUAGAUCCUUCGGGGUUAGAUACAUUUGUGCUAAGUUAUAGCUUGUCAUAGACAACUUGUUGACUAUGUUUAGUCAUUGUAGCUUACUCGCUUAUGCUAUUUUACCUACGCUUAGGAUGUUGAACUCUAUCACACACAG